rnacentral:rRNA from 1 species
AUUGAACGCUGGCGGCAUGCCUUACACAUGCAAGUCGAACGGCAGCACGGGAGCAAUCCUGGUGGCGAGUGGCGAACGGGUGAGUAAUAUAUCGGAACGUGCCCAGUCGUGGGGAUAACGUAGCGAAAGCUACGCUAAUACCGCAUACGAUCUAUGGAUGAAAGCGGGGGAUCGCAAGACCUCGCGCGAUUGGAGCGGCCGAUAUCAGAUUAGGUAGUUGGUGAGGUAAAGGCUCACCAAGCCGACGAUCUGUAGCUGGUCUGAGAGGACGACCAGCCACACUGGGACUGAGACACGGCCCAGACUCCUACGGGAGGCAGCAGUGGGAAUUUUGGACAAUGGGCGCAAGCCUGAUCCAGCAAUGCCGCGUGCAGGAUGAAGGCCUUCGGG